UCAAGCAAGCUCUGGCCUGAUUGUUACUGUGAGAAUAUUUUGUAGAUAAAUAACUGUUAACAGUUAAUUGCAUCUACAGCUGAUUGCAUCUACAAUCAACAAUGGAGAUUGCCCUCGGCAAUGCGGGGAGCCUCUUCAUCCAAUCAGUUGCAGGUGCCAGAAGACAGAAUUGAGGAUUUCACAAGUCAGAGAAGAAGGAUUUCUACCUCAACUUCAGUCAGCUGCUUCCCCUGGGAAAUUUGAACUCAACUUCUGCAUCACUGGUAUCAGAGUUUCCAGCUCGUGGCCUGCCCCACAGCAUUCAGACUUACCAGCCUCCACAGUGGCAUGAGCUAAUUCCUCAUCAUAAAUCUCUUGAGAUAUAUAUGUCUUCUAAAGAACUGCUCAGCAGAAGUAAAAGGAUAAGCAAUUUAGAAUGUGGACAGGAUGCCAACUUUCUGGCAAGGAAGGGGGAGACAGGUCAGUCAGACCAGCUUCUAGACCUGCAAAAUCUCAAAAGGUGCCAUGUCCAGGUGGCAGCCAUCAG